AACGAACGCUGGCGGCAGGCUUAACACAUGCAAGUCGAACGAGAUCUUCGGAUCUAGUGGCAGACGGGUGGGGAACACGUGGGAACAUCCCUUUCAGUUCGGAAUAACGUUGGGAAACUAACGCUAAUACCGGAUACGUCCUUCGGGAGAAAGAUUUAUCGCUGAAAGAUUGGCCCGCGUCUGAUUAGCUAGUUGGUGAGGUAAUGGCUCAACAAGGCUACGAUCAGUAGCUGAUCUGAGAGGAUGAUCAGCCACAUUGGGACUGAGACACGGCCCAAACUCCUACGGGAGGCAGCAGUGGGGAAUAUUGGACAAUGGGCGCAAGCCUGAUCCAGCCAUGCCGCGUGAGUGAUGACGGCCUUCGGGUUGUAAAGCUCUUUUGUCCGGGAAGAUAAUGACUGUACCGGAAGAAUAAGCCCCGGCAAACUUCGUGCCAGCAGCCGCCGUAA
rnacentral:rRNA from 1 species